AACGAACGCUGGCGGCAGGCCUAACACAUGCAAGUCGAACGAGUAAGAGCCGUAGCAAUACGGAGUUCUGCUAGUGGCGCACGGGUGAGUAACGCGUGGGAACGUGCCUUGGAGUUCGGGAUAACAGUUGGAAACGACUGCUAAUACCGAAUAUUCCCUCAGGGGGAAAGAUUUAUCGCUCCAAGAUCGGCCCGCGUAAGAUUAGGUAGUUGGUGGGGUAAUGGCCUACCAAGCCUACGAUCUUUAGCUGGUCUGAGAGGACGACCAGCCACACUGGAACUGAGACACGGUCCAGACUCCUACGGGAGGCAGCAGUGGGGAAUAUUGGACAAUGGGCGAAAGCCUGAUCCAGCCAUGCCGCGUGAAUGAUGAAGGCCUUAGGUUGUAAAAUCUUUGCAGGGGAAGAUAAUGACGGUACCCUGCGAAUAAGCUCCGGCUAACUUCGUGCCAGCAGCCGCGGUAAU
rnacentral:rRNA from 1 species